UUGAAAGGUCGGUUACGUCAAAUUCAUGGCGCCAACCAAAACAAACAUUAGCAGUUGUCGAGCAGUGCUUUGUUUCUACCGUUUAUGCUGAUAUUUUGGUCUAAGUAUUGAAAAUUACCGUGAGCAGAAAUGUCUGGAAAAGCAAAGGAAAUCCUGCAGAUGGACCUUUAUGGUUUGCUUGGAAUUGAAAACACUGCUACAACGAAGGAGAUCAAGAAAGCCUAUCGACAGAAAGCUCUGACAUGCCAUCCAGACAAGAACCCAGACAACCCAAAAGCAGCUGAGCUCUUCCACCAGUUGUCCCAGGCUCUGGAGGUGCUUACUGAUGCUGCUGCCAAGGCCGCCUAUGACAAAAUUUGUGCUGCCAAAAAACAAGCGGAGGAACGAAACCGCAAACUUGAUGACAAAAGAAAGAAGAUUAAGCUAGACCUUGAAGCAAGAGAACGACAAGCAGAGGCUCAAACCCAAGAUGAAGUGCAAAUCACAAGAACACUCGAAGAAGAGAUAGCUCGUUUGAGGGAGGAGGGCUCCAGACAGCUUGAGGAAGAACAGAGGCUCAUCAGGGAGCAGAUCCAAAAAGAAAGAGAAGCACAGCAGAACACAGACUACACUCAGAGAAACUCUGGUGUCGAGAGAUGUUCCAGGAGCAACGUCACCCCAAAAUUGAAGUUGAAGUGGAAGUGUAAAAAAGACGACGAGACAAAUGGAGGCUACAGUCAAGAGUUCAUUUUUAAACUUCUACAAAAGUACGGAGAUGUUUUGAAUGUGAUCAUAUCAAGUAAGAAGCGAGGAAGCGCUGUGGUUGAGUUCGCAACUGUGAGGGCAGCUGAGCUGGCAGUGAAGAAUGAAAGUGGCCGGAGUGAAAACCCAUUGAAGAUUUCCUGGCUUGAGGGACAACCGGAAGCUGCUCCUGCAUCUCAGUUCAUGUCUACACAGGGCUCUCUUUCCAAUGAGCGUGACUAUGAAAGUGUGGUGAUGAUGAAGAUGAGGCAGGCCGCUGAGCGGCAGCGGCUCAUUGAAGAAAUACAGAAGGAGGACGAGGAAGAAGAAGCCAUGUCCUAGUGCUAGAAGACCUGGCUCGGCAACAGCCUGCGGCCAGUAAACGGAACACCUGUUUUAAGUGAAGAAGUGAAGGUGCUGGUAGGAUAAGUACUGUACUUGUCCAGUGAAAGCAGCUGAGACGUUUAGCGAUCCAAGCCACAGUCCCCACGAAUCAGCCAUCGAGCCAAUUUUAGAACACAAGACCACCUGGGAGCACUGAAGAUUGCAGCCAUGGAAAUAAGCCAUUAGACUUUAUUGUCUCCGAGUUGGAUGAUGCAUCUUCCAAAUAUAAUUACAUCAGGACGUAUCCCUUUGUCAUCUUGUGCAGUAAAAGGCAUGGAUGAAUUUCCUCUGUGGUGCCGGAUCCAUCCUAACGGGAGGAAAUGAAA